UACGUAGGGGGGCUAGCGUUGUCCGGAAUCAUUGGGCGUAAAGCGCGUGUAGGCGGUCCGGUAAGUCCGCUGUGAAAGUCGGGGGCUCAACCCUCGGAUGCCGGUGGAUACUGUCGGGCUUGAGUACGGAAGAGGCGAGUGGAAUUCCUGGUGUAGCGGUGAAAUGCGCAGAUAUCAGGAGGAACACCAAUUGCGAAGGCAGCUCGCUGGGACGUUACUGACGCUGAGGAGCGAAAGUGUGGGGAGCGAACAGG
rnacentral:rRNA from 1 species